rnacentral:misc_RNA from 1 species
GAAAUGCGAUAAGUAAUGUGAAUUGCAGAAUUCAGUGAAUCAUCGAAUCUUUGAACGCACAUUGCGCUCUUUGGUAUUCCGGAGAGCAUGCCUGUUUGAGAAUCAGUAAAUCUAUCAGCCACUUGAUUGAGGUUGGAUAUGGGCAUUUUGAGACUUCAAUGCCUCAAUUGCCUGAAAUUUAAUGUCAAACUUCUGUGGAUUAACAACUCAUGGACACACGCAUGAAUGAGGAAACUCACAAGUACGUAUGCCCUGCAGAGUUGUAAGUUUCAUCAGUUUGGUUGACCCAACUAUUAACCUGGGGAGGAGGACGUCAGUCCACCUCUCUUGAACACUUGGUCUCAAAUCAGGUAGGAAAACCCGCUGAACUUAA